UGAAGGCCUCACGUAAAAAGAGUGCCCAAAGGGUCCCGCCAAUAGAUGUACUCAUUCUCUGUCCCACGCGAGAACUUGCUAGUCAGAUAGCUGCUGAAGCUAAUGUGUUGUUAAAGUACCAUGAAGGCAUUGGUGUGCAGACACUAGUUGGAGGGACAAGGUUCAAAGAAGAUCAGAAACGCCUAGAGUGUGAUCCAUGCCAGAUUAUAGUUGCAACACCUGGUAGAUUAUUAGAUCACAUUGAGAACAAGUCUGGCUUCUCUACACGAAUAAUGGGA
rnacentral:misc_RNA from 1 species